rnacentral:rRNA from 1 species
ACGAACGCUGGCGGCGUGCUUAACACAUGCAAGUCGAACGGAAAGGCCCUGCUUUUGUGGGGUGCUCGAGUGGCGAACGGGUGAGUAACACGUGAGUAACCUGCCCUUGAUUUUGGGAUAACUUCAGGAAACUGGGGCUAAUACCGGAUAGGAGCUCCUGCUGCAUGGUGGGGGUUGGAAAGUUUCGGCGGUUGGGGAUGGACUCGCGGCUUAUCAGCUUGUUGGUGGGGUAGUGGCUUACCAAGGCUUUGACGGGUAGCCGGCCUGAGAGGGUGACCGGCCACAUUGGGACUGAGAUACGGCCCAGACUCCUACGGGAGGCAGCAGUGGGGAAUAUUGCACAAUGGGCGGAAGCCUGAUGCAGCAACGCCGCGUGCGGGAUGACGGCCUUCGGGUUGUAAACCGCUUUCGCCUGUGACGAAGCGUGAGUGACGGUAAUGGGUAAAGAAGCACCGGCUAACUACGUG